GUUUGAGAGAACCUUUAGGGAAGGCCAUGGCCCAGCCUUAAGGAUAUUAGCGCAGUCAGAGGAAUGAGGACAGGAGCUAAGACCUACACUCGGCACUUGCACCCGCACCUCUCCAUUUGAGUAGUGAGUUCUAAAAUGCACUGCUGGUCCUACGGGAGUCCUGACACACAAAGGCAAUCCCCACACCCCAAUGCACAAAUUUAUAUUUGAGUAACUGCAAUAAAAUCAUAAAAAAGGGAGCAGUAAAACAGCAAAAGAAGUUCUGCAACAUAAGACCUACUAAAGAUGGCUGCACUGAAUGCCGCAUUGUCUUGAACAAACACAGGUGCCAAAUGACC